UACGUAGGGCGCAAGCGUUGUCCGGAAUUAUUGGGCGUAAAGAGCUCGUAGGCGGCUUGUCACGUCGAUUGUGAAAGCCCGAGGCUUAACCUCGGGUCUGCAGUCGAUACGGGCUAGCUAGAGUGUGGUAGGGGGAGAUCGGAAUUCCUGGUGUAGCGGUGAAAUGCGCAGAUAUCAGGAGGAACACCGGUGGCGAAGGCGGCAUCCUGGACCGGCAUUGACGCUGAGGAGCGAAAGCCAGGGGAGCAAACGGG
rnacentral:rRNA from 1 species